GCCGGGUGGCAUCCCUAUAUCACCCUAUGGAUUUGUUUUGCAGCCAACAUUGCGCAAUCGUAUCCUUCUGACGUUUCUGGUUCCCACUCGGAAUCAACAAAAUUUUUGGUAAACAAAACAAAUCCAACGAAUCGUGUUGAUCGUGUUGAACGAUGAGCAAGUUGAGUGUUUAUUAUUAUGUGAAUUUCGGAAGUUUUGAUUAUUGUAACUAAAAAGUUGACUGGCGAUAAAAAUUAAACACUUUACCACAGCCGGGAAUCCCGAUGAAAUCAAAAUUUGUUGAUGGAAUCGCGAAAGGGUGUACCUAUUUAAUCUCUACAGCAGAUGCUAAACGGAUUGUUUACCUCGAGAUAUACAAAGUUCUGAAGAAACAAUCAGCAUGAAUCUCUAUCUGCUGGAAAAAGUAAAACAUUAGCUGGUAAAAUAAAACGAGGGGACGGAAGUACAAGUACAUGGACACAAUUUAUCUGGAAAUGAUCUUCAACCCAAACAUAAUGAAGCCGGAUUUACAUUACGUGAGGACUGCUCUUAAAAACAGUAUGCAUGUGAUGCGAAGUAGAAACAAUUGUUAAAAGAGAUAAUAAAAAAUAAAGAUAUGUACAUAUCGAAAAUCUGACAAU